UGCACUUAUUGCCUAACACAUACAUAUAUGUGUGUGUGUUCUCCAGCAAGUAAAAGAAUGAAAUGUGUGUGUAUGAAUAAUUUCCUAAUAUAUAACAUUAUUAUCAACCUUCCCCCUCACACAAAUACAAUAUAUGUGCGUGCGUGUCUGCAAUGUGAGGCGCAAUGUUAAAUCAUUUUUGUUUAUCAAUUACAUAAGACGCCAUUUUGAGUUAAACAUGGCGAAGUCAUACAAUCACCGCUAAAUACACAUGCAAUGAAAGACGCCAUGUCAAACGUAUUCUCGUUUGUGAGCACUUCAAACGCUUCAGACUGUUGUUGCAUUCAUUUCCCAACGGUGAUAUUGAAUUUAGCAGUAGACAAAAGGCGACAUGUGAAGUGAACAAUGAGAAACCUAGGAUUCCAGGAAAUGGUGGUUAUGAAAUGCAACCAUUCUCUUCCUAAAGCUUGAGGAAAUUGCUUUAUACAAGCACUGGAGCACUGUCUUAAAGGGUUUUAGUCAAACAGUUGACCCAAGGACUUAUUUUUAAGUCUGGUACUUCCAUCACUUGCUUUUGCCAAACCACUGACCUAGAAGGAUGUCAACCAACACACACGAUGGGCUUCCACACAGUUUCUGUCUACUAAAUUCACUCACACAGCAUUGGUUGUUCCAGAGCUAUAGCAGAAGACACUUGUCCAGGAUACCAUGCAGUGGGAAUGAACCCAAAGUCACAUGUUGCAAAGUGUUGACAUGCACAAAUUCAAGCAGAACACCAACAAAAUUGGACUUGUAGAGAGCUUAAAGAACUACCCUACUUUCUCUGUCUAGUUAAUAAAAUUAAAUAGUCACUGGACUUACUAAAAGGCACCAUGAUUAUACACACAAACGCACAAGCAUAUAAAGUUUUUCUCCCUGGAAUGUGACAGAAGCUGUUCUCUGCACAUUUUCAGUGUUUAUUGCUCCUGAGCAUUUGCCACAUACAAAAACUAUCUUCCCAGUUAGCCUUCCUUCGAUAUUGCUGCACCUCUUAUGUGGCCAUAGCCUACACUGGGUACAUCUUAUGGAGUUUCUACCUACACCUUUUCUACAGAUCAAGCAGGGCCAUCUACCUGAAGGUAUUUGUGGUUUGUCUAUCUUCCUGCUUAUUAAGACUUUGGUUACACAUGUAUACAAACACACACAAAAGUACAUAUGCAUGCAUACACACAAACACACACACACACGCGCAAACAUACACACACACACACGCAAACAUGCAAACACACACAUGCACACACACACACAAGUGAAUUUUUUAGCAGGGUAAUGAAAGGGAGGCAUCAAAAGAUAAUCAUAUGUGACUUGAAUUAAAUGGAAGAAAUGAUAGUUUAAUGUAUAUUGAAACUGAAAGGUAACAAAAAACACUUUCAGAGUUAAUGAAGGUGAUGUGAACAUUAGAGGGGAAAGAAUGUCUAAGUGAGAAAUAGGUGAAGAAAUGAAUACUAUGGGCUUGGAAUUAAUGUAAAUUAUUGUGAAUUGCAAUACAAUGGUGUUUAUUGAUAGAAAGGAUGGCCUGGGCACUUGUGGAGUUUGAAAGAGACAGAAUUUCAUAAAAAUAGGUUGUAAGAUCAAACUAUAUAAAUUUUUGUUUAUUUCUACUUUUGUUAAGCAAACAAAUUGAUGAUGAUGAUGAUGAUGCGAUAUUUUUUAAAAACUACUUUAACUUGAAUAAAGUGUGUUCUAGAUAUGGGUCGAAUAAACAGAAUCAGUAUUUAAUGGCACAUUCAUCAUUUGUGUUUGUAAAAGCAAGACAUUAGAUUAGUUGUUUUCUGUUCAGACGUCAAAUAUAACAUUGUGUACGAGUUGAGUAUGUAUAUAUAUAUAUACACACAUACACACAUCAUUUAAAGCAGCAGCUGUAAUUAAAGUCACCAUAUAUAUUCUUCUCUAGAAUUGUCUUGUGCAAUUUUUCUAAAGAUAAACCAAUUACAUCUAACACUAUUCCAAAGACUGUUAUCAGUCUCACUCAGUUACAGGACAUCGAAUUUGAAGAAGUAGGCUAUGUAUUUUUAUAAAGAGACACUGAUCCCAUAUUUAAGAAAUAAAAAGAUGGGCUUAAUUACUUCCAAUGCUCUUAAGAUGGGAAAUCGCCAAAGUGUGAUUACAUCAUCAUCUUUUAAUGCUUUUCUUAUAGCAGCUUGGGUCAGACAGGAUCUGAUGGGUGGGAGGAUAGUGUUGUACUCCAAUGUCUGCUUUGAUUUAGGUUCCUAACACCAAC